rnacentral:rRNA from 1 species
UACGAGGGGAGCAAGCGUUGUUCGGAUUUACUGGGCGUAAAGGGCGCGUAGGCGGCUCAACAAGUCACUUGUGAAAUCUCCGGGCUUAACUCGGAACGGUCAAGUGAUACUGUCGAGCUAGAGUACAGAAGGGGCAACUGGAAUUCUCGGUGUAGCGGUGAAAUGCGUAGAUAUCGAGAGGAACACCUGCGGCGAAGGCGGGUCUCUGGGCCGUAACUGACGCUGAGGAGCGAAAGCAUGGGGAGCGAACAGG